UAGUACACACGUAUUAUCAAUAUAAUUACAAAGCCAGAACAGUGAUAAUUAAACCAUUGUAAUCAGGAUCAAAUCUAUUUAUCACGUUCAGCAGUACAUUAAUUACAGUCUACUGCAAGUAACCUCUAAGUGAAUUAGAAGGCAAUAUACCGUAUCUGCAGCUGUAUUCCACACAUCCAUUUUCAAUCCACUUCAUCACUGUAGAGUUGCAGGGGAGCCGAGGCCCAUCCAGCUGGCAGGCAACCGGUGCAAGGGACUGUCCCGAUCCCCCCUUAAUUCUCAGAGGAGCAGAGACUCGGGGAGAGACUGGAGGAGAAGAGGAGAGACUGAAGGAGAAACAGUUUGGAGGAGAGGAGGAGAGACUGGAGGAGAGGAGGAGAGACCGAAGGAGAGACAGUUUGGAGGAGAGGAGGAGAGACUAAAGGUGAGGAGGAGAGACUGGAGGAGAGGAGGAGAGACUGGAGGAGAGACAGUUUGGAGGAGAGACUGGAGGAGAGACAGUUUGGAGGAGAAGAGGAGAGACAGUUUGGAGGAGAGGAGAAGAGACUGGAGGAGAGGAGGAGAGACUGUAGGUGAGGAAGAGAGACUGGAGGAGAGGAGGAGAGACUGGAGGAGAGACAGUUUGGAGGAGAAGAGGAGAGACAGAGAGGAGACUGGGCACAGGACAAAGGAAGGGACAGGG
rnacentral:lncRNA from 1 species